GACGAACGCUGGCGGCGUGCUUAACACAUGCAAGUCGAACGAAGUGGCGAACGGGUGAGUAACGCGUAAUCAACCUGCCCUUCAGCGGGGGACAACAGUUGGAAACGACUGCUCAUACCGCAUACUGAAGGUGGGGAUUGCGUCUGAUUGGGUAGUUGGAGGGGUAACGGCCCACCAAGGCGAAGUUCAUUAGCCGGUCUGAGGGGAUGAACGGCCAAAUUGGGAAUGAGACACGGCCCAGACUCCUACGGGAGGCAGGAGUGGGGAAUCGUCCGCAAUGGACGAAAGUCUGACGGAGCAACGCCGCGUGAGUGAUGACGGCCUUCGGGUUGGAAAGCUCUGUUAAUCGGGACGCGGUACCGGAAUAGAAAGCCACGGCUAACUACGUGCCAGCAGCCGCGGUAAUUC
rnacentral:rRNA from 1 species